UACGUAGGGUGCAAGCGUUAAUCGGAAUUACUGGGCGUAAAGCGUGCGCAGGCGGCUUUGCAAGACAGAUGUGAAAUCCCCGGGCUCAACCUGGGAACUGCAUUUGUGACUGCAUGGCUAGAGUACGGUAGAGGGGGAUGGAAUUCCGCGUGUAGCAGUGAAAUGCGUAGAUAUGCGGAGGAACACCGAUGGCGAAGGCAAUCCCCUGGACCUGUACUGACGCUCAUGCACGAAAGCGUGGGGAGCAAACAGGAUUAGAAACCUUGUGAGUC
rnacentral:rRNA from 1 species